UGAUCACAUAAAUUAUUCAUCGUGCAAUAUCUGUAUUAUUACAAUCUAAUGUUCGUGGCUCAUUUUAUCAUCUGGAAAGUGGUGCCUCCUAGACUAGACCGUAUAUAUCAAACCCAAUUCGAUGAAAUUGAAUAAACGCGCCAACAAUUCCAUCCAUCCAGAUCCAGAAAAACAUUACAGAACCAACGUGAUUUAGUUUUUGAGCU